rnacentral:sRNA from 1 species
GAAGCGGAAGUGGGUUGCUGUUGAGGCGGCGGCGUCUUUCUCGAGGGGCUCUCCUGGGCUUCUGAAGAAGGAGCCUCUCUGGAGUGCGGCGGAGGCGGCGCCUGCGAACCUAACUAGCUCCAGGUUAGGCCGGGCUUUGCGGGAAAGCAGCGAGAAAGCGUCGUGGUGGAGCAAUAAAUUCUAGACAAGCCCAGAAGCGAACUCGGGAAGCAACCUCCACCCCAGAGAUUUCCUUGGAAGCAGAACCCAUAGAACUCGUGGAAACUGCUGGAGAUGAAAUUGUGGACCUCACUUGUGAAUCUUUAGAGCCUGUGGUGGUUGAUCUGACUCACAAUGACUCUGUUGUGAUUGUUGACGAAAGAAGAAGACCGAGGAGGAAUGCUAGGAGGCUGCCCCAGGACCAUGCUGACAGCUGCGUGGUGAGCAGUGACGAUGAGGAGUUGUCCAGGGACAGAGACGUGUAUGUGACUACCCACACUCCCAGAAAUGCCAGGGAUGAGGGCGCUGCAGGCCUCAGGCCCUCGGGUACUGUCAGUUGUCCUAUCUGCAUGGACGGAUACUCAGAG